UACGGAGGGUGCGAGCGUUGUCCGGAAUCAUUGGGCGUAAAGGGCGCGUAGGUGGCUUCUUAAGCGUGCGGUGAAAGCCUGGGGCUCAACCCCGGGUCGGCCGUGCGAACUGGGGGGCUGGAGCACUGUAGAGGCAGGCGGAAUUCCGGGUGUAGCGGUGGAAUGCGUAGAGAUCCGGAAGAACACCAGAGGCGAAGGCGGCUACCUGGACAAUUGCUGACGCUCAGGCACGAAAGCGUGGGGAGCAAAAGGG
rnacentral:rRNA from 1 species